AUUCUGACUGUGCGAAGGUAGCAUAAUAGAUUGUCUUUUAAAUGGAGGCUUGAAUGAAUGGUUGGACAAAGUAUCAUCUGUUUCUUUAAUAAUUAUUGAAUUUGACUUUUAAGUGAAAAGGCUUAAAUAAAUUAAAAAGACGAUAAGACCCUAUAAAUUUUUAUAAAAAAUAUAAUUUUAAUUUGAAUUUAUAAGUAUAUAAAAUAUAAAUUAUAAUUUUAUUGUGCUGGGGUGGUGUAGAUAUAUAAUUUAACUGUUUAUAAAUUAAAAUCAAUAAUAAUUGAUUAAUAUAAUUGAUCCUUUAAGAGAUUAAAAGAUUAAAAUACUUUAGGGAUAACAGCGUUAUUUUUUCUAAGAGUUCUUAUUGAAGAAAAAGUUUGCGACCCCGAUGUUGAAUUAAAAUUUCUUUUUGGUGUAGCAGCUAUAUAAGAGAGUCUGUUCGACUUUUAAUAUUUUACAUGA
rnacentral:rRNA from 1 species